AGAACGAACGCUGGCGGCAGGCUUAACACAUGCAAGUCGAGCGCCCCGCAAGGGGAGCGGCAGACGGGAGAGUAACACGUGGGAACGUACCUUUCGGUUCGGAACAACCCAGGGAAACUUGGGCUAAUACCGGAUACGUCCGUAAGGAGAAAGAUUUAUCGCCGAAAGAUCGGCCCGCGUCUGAUUAGCUAGUUGGUGAGGUAACGGCUCACCAAGGCGACGAUCAGUAGCUGGUCUGAGAGGAUGAUCAGCCUCACUGGGACUGAGACACGGCCCAGACUCCUACGGGAGGCAGCAGUGGGGAAUAUUGGACAAUGGGCGCAAGCCUGAUCCAGCCAUGCCGCGUGGGUGAUGAAGGCCCUAGGGUUGUAAAGCCCGUUUCGGCGGGGAAGAUAAUGACGGUACCGCAGAAGACGCCCGGCUAACUCGCGCCAGCAGCCGC
rnacentral:rRNA from 1 species